rnacentral:tRNA from 2 species
GGGCCGUUAGCUCAAUUGGCAGAGCUGCGGACUUUUAAUCCGUAGGUUCUGGGUUCGAGUCCCAGGCGGCCCA